rnacentral:rRNA from 1 species
CAAGCGUGGAUGAUGUGGUUAAUUCGAUGCAACGCAAAAACUUACCACCUUUGACAUGUACGGAAUCCUUUAGAGAUAGAGGAGUGCUCGAAAGAGAACCGUAACACAGGUGCUGCAUGGCUGUCGUCAGCUCGUGUCGUGAGAUGUUGGGUUAAGUCCCGCAACGAGCGCAACCCUUGUCAUUAGUUGCUACAUUCAGUUGGGCACUCUAAUGAGACUGACCGGUGACAAACCGGAGGAAGUGGGGAUGACGUCAAGUCCUCAUGGCCCUUAUAGGUGGGGCUACACACGUCAUACAAUGGAUGGUACAAAGGGUCGCCAACCCGCGAGGGGGAGCCAAUACCCAUAAAGCCAUUCGUAGUCCGGAUCGCAGUCUGCAACUCGACUGCGUGAAGUCGGAAUCGCUAGUAAUCGUGGAUCAGAAUGUCACGGUGAAUACGUUCCCGGGUCUU